CUGUGUGUGGUGAUGAGGCAGUGUAUUGUUAGUUAGCUGUUCUUCAUACACCAGCAACUGACUACACUGCCACAUCAACACAUCACUG
rnacentral:pre_miRNA from 1 species